GAAAUGCGAUACGUAAUGUGAAUUGCAAAUUCAGUGAAUCAUCGAGUCUUUGAACGCACAUUGCGCCCCCUGGUAUUCCGGGGGGCAUGCCUGUCCGAGCGUCAUUUCUGCCCUCAAGCACGGCUUGUGUGUUGGGCCCCGUCCUCCGAUCCCGGGGGACGGGCCCGAAAGGCAGCGGCGGCACCGCGUCCGGUCCUCGAGCGUAUGGGGCUUUGUCACCCGCUCUGUAGGCCCGGCCGGCGCUUGCCGAUCAACCCAAAUUUUUAUCCAGGUUGACCUCGGAUCAGGUAGAGAUACCCGCUGAACUUAAGC
rnacentral:misc_RNA from 1 species